rnacentral:rRNA from 1 species
UACGGAGGUGGCAAGCGUUGUUCGGAAUUACUGGGCGUAAAGGGCGCGUAGGCGGUUGGGCAAGUCAGAUGUGAAAGCCCCGAGCUUAACUCGGGAACUGCAUCUGAAACUGCUUGACUUGAGUCCUGGAUGGGGUAGUGGAAUUCCCAGUGUAGCGGUGAAAUGCGUAGAUAUUGGGAGGAACACCUGCGGCGAAGGCGGCUACCUGGACAGUGACUGACGCUGAGGCGCGAAAGCUAGGGGAGCGAACGGG